rnacentral:rRNA from 1 species
UCUUGCACAAUGGGCGCAAGCCUGAUGCAGCGAUGCCGCGUGAGUGAAGAAGGCCUUCGGGUUGUAAAGCUCUUUCGACAGGGAAGAAGGGUUCCGGCGCGAACAGUGCCAGAAUUUGACGGUACCUAGAGAAGAAGCACCGGCUAACUCCGUGCCAGCAGCCGCGGUAAUACGGAGGGUGCUAGCGUUGUUCGGAAUUACUGGGCGUAAAGCGCACGUAGGCGGGCUAGUAAGUCGAUUGUGAAAGCCCCGGGCUCAAUCCGGGAAUGGCAGUCGAAACUACAAGUCUUGAAUACCCAAGAGGGUGACGGAAUUCCUGGUGUAGAAGUGAAAUUCGUAGAUAUCAGGAGGAACACCGGAGGCGAAGGCGGUUGCCUGGUGGUGUAUUGACGCUGAGGUGCGAAAGCGUGGGGAGCAAACAGG